AUUGAACGCUGGCGGCAUGCUUUACACAUGCAAGUCGAACGGCAGCGCGGGCUUCGGCCUGGCGGCGAGUGGCGAACGGGUGAGUAAUGCAUCGGAACGUCCCCAGUAGUGGGGGAUAGCCCGGCGAAAGCCGGAUUAAUACCGCAUACGACCUGAGGGUGAAAGCGGGGGACCGAAAGGCCUCGCGCUAUUGGAGCGGCCGAUGUCGGAUUAGCUAGUUGGUGGGGUAAAGGCUUACCAAGGCGACGAUCCGUAGCUGGUCUGAGAGGACGACCAGCCACACUGGGACUGAGACACGGCCCAGACUCCUACGGGAGGCAGCAGUGGGGAAUUUUGGACAAUGGGGGCAACCCUGAUCCAGCCAUGCCGCGUGCGGGAAGAAGGCCUUCGGGUUGUAAACCGCUUUUGUUCGGGAAGAAAUCCUCUGGGCUAAUACCCCGGGGGGAUGACGGUACCGGAAGAAUAAGCACCGGCUAACUACGUG
rnacentral:rRNA from 1 species